CCUACGGGUGGCAGCAGUGAGGAAUAUUGGUCAAUGGACGAGAGUCUGAACCAGUCAAGUAGCGUGAAGGAUGACUGCCCUAUGGGUUGUAAACUUCUUUUAUAUGGGAAUAAAAUGUUCCACGUGUGGGAUUUUGUAUGUACCAUAUGAAUAAGGAUCGGCUAACUCCGUGCCAGCAGCCGCGGUAAUACGGAGGAUCCGAGCGUUAUCCGGAUUUAUUGGGUUUAAAGGGAGCGUAGGUGGAUUGUUAAGUCAGUUGUGAAAGUUUGCGGCUCAACCGUAAAAUUGCAGUUGAAACUGGCAGUCUUGAGUACAGUAGAGGUGGGCGGAAUUCGUGGUGUAGCGGUGAAAUGCUGAGAUAUCACGAAGAACUCCGAUUGCGAAGGCAGUUCACUGGACUGCAACUGACACUGAGGCUCGAAAGUGUGGGUAUCAAACAGGAUUAGAUACCCUUGUAGUC
rnacentral:rRNA from 1 species